GGCGGAGGUCUUAACGUUGACGUUAUUGUGUUGAUGUUGGUUGGCGGAGGUCUUAACGUUGACGUUAUUGUGUUGAUGUUAGUUGGCGGAGGUCUUAACGUUGACGUUAUUGUGUUGAUGUUAGUUGGCGGAGGUCUUAACGUUGACGUUAUUGUGUUGAUGUUGGCGGAGGUCUUAACGUUGACGUUAUUGUGUUGAUGUUGGUUGGCGGAGGUCUUAACGUCGACGUUAUUGUGUUGACGUUAGUUGGCGGAGGUCUUAACGUUGACGUUAUUGUGUUGAUGUUAGUUGGCGGAGGUCUUAACGUUGACGUUAUUGUGUUGAUGUUGGCGGAGGUCUUAAUGUUGAUGUUAUUGUGUUGAUGUUGGCGGAGGUCUUAACGUUGACGUUAUUGUGUUGAUGUUAGUUGGCGGAGGUCUUAACGUUGACGUUAUUGUGUUGAUGAUAGUUGGCGGGGGCCUUAACGUUGAUGUUAUUGUGUUGAUGUAUUUCUAAUACUUUAUAAAACUUUCUGGUUGAUGUUUUCUAAGACCCCUAUUCCAUCUGUUUAUCCAGAAAUCAAAGCCUUUCUCAUGCCUAUGGUUCCUUUUCGAUUGAAAUUCCUGUGUUGUGUAGUUUUAGUGUGUUAUAGACCUUAUUGUGUUUGACUUCAUCUUUUUCAUUGUAUUAUUAAGCAAUGAGGUCCGAGAGGGUGUGGUAUAUGGCCAAUAUACCACGGCUCAGGGCUGUUUCUAGGCACGACUCAUCGAGGUGCCUUGUUGCUAUUACAAACUGGUUACCGAUGUAAUUAUGGGGCAGCAGGUAGCCUGGUGGUAAGAGCGUUGGGCUAGUAACCGGAAGGUUGCAAGAUUGAAUCCCAGAGCUGACAAGGUAAAAAUGUGUCGUUCUGCCCCUGAACAAGGCAGUUAACCCAGUGUUCCCCUGAACAACGCAGUUAACCCACUGUUCCCCUGAACAAGGCAGUUAAUCCACUGUUCCCCUGAACAAGGCAGUUAACCCACUGUUCCCCUGAACAAGGCAGUUAAUCCACUGUUCCUCUGAACAAGGCAGUUAACCCACUGUUCCCCUGAACAAGGCAGUUAAUCCACUGUUCCCCUGAACAAGGCAGUUAACCCACUGUUCCCCUGAACAAGGCAGUUAAUCCACUGUUCCCCUGAACAAGGCAGUUAACCCACUGUUCCCCUGAACAAGGCAGUUAACCCACUGUUCCCCUGAACAAGGCAGUUAACCCACUGUUCCCCUGAACAAGGCAGUUAAUCCACUGUUCCCCUGAACAAGGCAGUUAACCCACUGUUCCCCUGAACAAGGCAGUUAAUCCACUGUUCCCCUGAACAAGGCAGUUAAUCCACUGUUCCCCUGAACAAGGCAGUUAACCCACUGUUCCCCUGAACAAGGCAGUUAACCCACUGUUCCCCUGAACAAGGCAGUUAAUCCACUGUUCCCCUGAACAAGGCAGUUAAUCCACUGUUCCUAGGCCGUCAUUGAAAAUAACAAUUUGUUCUUAACCGACUUUCCUAGUUAAAUAAAAUUAGAGCAGUAAAAAUACAUGUUUUGUCAUAACCGUGAUAAAUGGUCUGAUAUACCAUGACUAUCAGCCAAUCAGCAUUCAGGACUGGAACCACACAGUUUAUAAAUAAUAAUAAAUCUGUUGUUACAUACUUGUUGUAGACAGUUUUUAAAUAAUGACCGUAACAUGUUAUCCUCCCCACUGCUGGUCCCUGAAGCGAUAGCUAAGAUGUUGGUCCGUUGUCAAUCAAUCAAAUAUAUUUUUAUCAGCUGAUGUCUCAAAGUGCUGUACAGAAACCCAGCCUAAAACCCCAAACAGCAAGCAAUGCAGGUGUAGAAGCACGGUGGCUAGGACAAUCUCUGUAUGUGUGUGUGUGUGUGUUUGUCUGUGUGUUUGUGUGUGUGU